CCUGCACGACCGUACCGCAAACCGACACUGGUGCGCGAGAUGAGUAUUCUAAGGCGCUUGAGAGAACUCAGGAGAAGGAACUCGGCAAAUUGACACCGUAACUUCGGAAGGAGGUGUGCCUUUAGUAGGUGAACCAUUUACUUGGGGAGCCCAAUGAGGCUGCAAAAAAUCGGUGGCUGCAACUGUUUAUUAAAAACACAGCACUCUGCUAAGACGAAAGUCGACGUAUAGGGUGUGACGCCUGCCCGGUGCUGGAAGAUUAAAUGAUGGGGUGCAAGCUCUUGAUUGAAGUCCCAGUAAACGGCGGCCGUAACUAUAACGGUCCUAAGGUAGCGAAAUUCCUUGUCGGGUAAGUUCCGACCUGCACGAAUGGCGUAAUGAUGGCCACACUGUCUCCUCCUGAGACUCAGCGAAGUUGAAAUGUUUGUGAUGAUGCAAUCUCCCCGCGGAAAGACGGAAAGACCCCAUGAACCUUUACUGUAGCUUUGUAUUGGACUUUGAACAGAUCUGUGUAGGAUAGGUGGGAGGCUUUGAAGUGUGGUCGCUAGAUCGCAUGGAGCCAACGUUGAAAUACCACCCUGGUGUGUUUGAGGUUCUAACCUAGGUCCAUUAUCUGGAUCGGGGACAGUGCAUGGUAGGCAGUUUGACUGGGGCGGUCUCCUCCCAAAGUGUAACGGAGGAGUUCGAAGGUACGCUAGGUACGGUCGGACAUCGUGCUAAUAGUGCAAUGGCAUAAGCGUGCUUAACUGCGAGACUGACAAGUCGAGCAGAUGCGAAAGCAGGACAUAGUGAUCCGGUGGUUCUGUAUGGAAGGGCCAUCGCUCAACGGAUAAAAGGUACUCUGGGGAUAACAGGCUGAUACCGCCCAAGAGUUCAUAUCGACGGCGGUGUUUGGCACCUCGAUGUCGGCUCAUCUCAUCCUGGGGCUGUAGCCGGUCCCAAGGGUAUGGCUGUUCGCCAUUUAAAGAGGUACGUGAGCUGGGUUUAAAACGUCGUGAGACAGUUUGGUCCCUAUCUUCCGUGGGCGCUGCAGAUUUGAGGAAGCCUGCUCCUAGUACGAGAGGACCGGAGUGGACGAACCUCUGGUGUAUCGGUUGUCACGCCAGUGGCAUUGCCGAGUAGCUAAGUUCGGAAGAGAUAACCGCUGAAAGCAUCUAAGCGGGAAACUCGUUUCAAGAUUAGAUCUGCCGGGGCCUUGAGCCCCCUAAAGAGUCGUUCAAGACCAGGACGUUGAUAGGUCAGGUGUGGAAGC
rnacentral:rRNA from 1 species